AUGCGGUAGCACUCCGUGUGCGUGAGCGUGAGUUCGUGUGUGACAUUGCACUCUCUUACACUGCGCCACCUCGUUCUCUCCGUCUAAAUAGCUUUCACUUCCUCAUUCUUCUUCUUCGUGCGUGCGUGUUUCUGUAAAAUCGAAUCUCAAGUCUCUGAAUCUGAAUCUCAACACAACCUUCGUUGUUCUCAACACUGUGUUCGUUUUUGCUGCCAAGGUUCCAACACUGAAAGAGACACCGGAGUAACAUAAAUAAGAUGGACCAACAAAACCAAAAUAACACUCCAGAUGGUUCAGGAGAGGUGCCUUUGAAGCGCAAACGUGGUCGUCCACGGAAAUACCCAAAGCCAGAUUCAGAGGAGAGUUCCUAUAUCCUAGUUAGUCAAAAUAAAAGGCAGAAUCCUGUUCGUGCGGAACAAGCUCCAGUACCUCCUGGAUUUGAAGGGGUUAAUGGAAAUCAACAGCUUCAAAGGGGUCAAGAGAAUCAUUCAAAUAAUGAAUUGGUGGGCCAGGUAGUUUCCGGUGUAAUCGAGGCUGUAUUUGAUGCUGGAUAUUUGCUCAGCGUUAGAGUUGGUGAUUCUGAUACUACUUUGAGGGGGCUAGUCUUCAAGCCUGGACGAUACGUUCCUAUUUCACCUGAUAAUGAUGUUGCUCCAAGUGUUCCAAUGAUCCAAAGAAAUGAAGUUUCCUUCCCCUCAAGAGCUGCUCAGGUUCAGACUCCUCUCCCAAAGGAAAGGAAUGAACAGCCUGUGAAUGUUCAUAGAGUUGAAACUCUCGCAAUGAAUGGCUCACCAUCUGUCCCUCAGGUACCUAGAGGAGCUGUCAGUUCUAGUAACUUAGUUGCCUCUACCGGAAAGAGUGUGCCUUCUGUGAUGGGCCAGAUCACUCAUCAACUACCCAGAGGUAAUGUGGUGCCUGUUCUGCUCCAGCCUAAUAAUUUUUCAAAUGGAGUGCCAGUUUCUAAUCAACCAUCACAAGUCAAGACCCAAGUUUCUCUAGGGAGCGGAGUGAUUGCUGCCAAAGAAAUUCCUGUAGAUGGAAACCAUGCACUCGUCUCUCUCACUCAAACCAGCCAGAAUUUAUUGCCAAGCAGCGUGCAAAGUGAAGGUGUUUCACCACAUAAUCAAUCUUCAUCCAAUGUGUUGAAUGAAGAUCAAGCUAAAUCUAUGAGAAUGCCUGGCAUGCCUUUUGAGCAACUGGUUACUGAAGUUGUUAAGAGGAUCCAAGCUCCGUCAGAUGCAAUGGAUACCGAGACUGACAACAGUAAGUCAGGUGACAAUACAGUAGUGAAGGAUCCAAGCUGUAGGCAGGAAGACAAAGUUAAUGAGAUGGAUCAACCCAUCUUGAUUAAGCCUCUUCAAGCUGUACAGUCUCUACCUCAGGAAAGCUCCACAUCUGCUCCCAAACCUGCAGACUAUACUGAAACUGGCAGAGUGAAUGAGCUUUUGCAGCAUAACAAAACAGAGAACCAGGCAUCCACCAUAGCAGCAGAGCUAGGAUCUGGAAACAAGUUGGAUGAUAUAAGGAAUUUAGGAACUGGACUUGAAGAUGGUGGAACGUUCAAUCAACAAAGCCUUUCUGAGCAUUGAAUGCCUGAUUUAUAAAUUUUUAUCAUUAGAAGCUAUUGUGCCAGCAGAUUUAUCUGUCAUAAAGUAGGUAUUUAUCUGGCAUGGUGAAAUAUUUAGUUUUUAGUUCUAGUCUCAAGGAUCUUAAAUAAUUUUAAACUUGCAAGCCUUAUUGAGUUUUGUGGAGAAAAGGUAGCUUGUUAUAGUUAUAUUUAUGUUUUUACAUUAUAGACCAUACCUUCAAGUCGGAUGUUAAUUACUUUCCUAGCAAUCGAUUAUUAUCCAAAACUUUAAUUUAAUGUUUCAAUCCAUUUUAUCAGGCUGUUAAUUGCA